AGAGCAUAGGGAGGAUGCCUAGGCACCAAGCGCCGAAGAAGGACGUGGCAGGCUGCGAAAAGCUGCGUGGAGCUGCGAGCGAGCUGAGAAGCGCAGAUAUCCGAAUGAGGGAACUCACAUGCUGGGAGAGCAUGUACGUAUGCAUGAAAAGAUAGUGCAUACGGGGGAACCCGGUGAACUGAAACAUCUAAGUAACCGGAGGAAAAGAAAGUAAGAACGAUCUUCUGAGUAGCGGCGAGCGAAAGGGAGGGAGCCCAAACCAUUGAUUUACGGAUUGAUGGGGUUACGGACAGUCAGGAUUUCAGGACAUGAUAGCCGAACGGUUUUGGGAAAGCCGGCCGAAGGAGGUAAAAGCCCCGUAGGUAAAAUCAUGGAGAGGAAGGACUGGAUCCAGAGUACCGCAGGACACGAGGAAUCCGGCGGGAAGUCGGGGGGACCACCCCCCAAGGCUAAAUACGACUUGGUGAGCGAUAGCGAAUAGUACCGUGAGGGAAAGGUGAAAAGCACCCCGGGAGGGGAGUGAAAGAGAACCUGAAACCCUAUGUUUACAAGCACAGGGAGCACGUUAAGGGUGCGACCUGGUACUUUUUGUAGAACGGACCGGCGAGUUACGUUAUGAUGCGAGGUUAAGGUAUAGAGUACCGGAGCCGAAGCGAAAGCGAGUCUGAACAGGGCGAAAGAGUAUCAUGAUGUAGACCCGAAACCGUGUGACCUAUCCAUGGACAGGUUGAAGUGGGAGUAAAAUCUCAUGGAGGACCGAACCACACUGCCGUUGAAAAGGUAGGGGAUGAGCUGUGGAUAGCGGGGAAAUUCCAAACGAACACGGAUAUAGCUGGUUCUCCUCGAAAUAGCUUUAGGGCUAGCCUCGGGGUAAGAGUGACGGAGGUAGAGCACUGAAUGGGCUAGGGGGCCACAAAGCUUACUGAACCUUAUCAAACUGCGAAUGCCGUACACUUAGUACCCGGGAGUCAGACUGUGUGAGAUAAGUCUCACGGUCAAAAGGGAAACAGCCCAGACCAACAGCUAAGGUCCCAAAGUACAGGUUAAGUGGAGAAGGAUGUGCCAUUGCGCAGACAACCAGGAUGUUGGCUUAGAAGCAGCCACACAUUAAAAGAGUGCGUAAUAGCUCACUGGUCGAGUGGUGGUGCGCCGAAGAUGGACGGGGCUCAAACCUGACACCGAAGCUUUGGAUUUAUGGAGACAUAAGUGGUAGAGGAGCGAUGUAUGCGGGAGGAAGGAUGACCGGAAGGACAUUUGGACUGCAUAGAAGAGAGAAUGCCGGUAUAAGUAGCGAGAGUGAGGUGAGAAUCCUCACCGUCGAAAGCCAAAGGAUUCCUGAGGAAGGUUCGUCCCCUCAGGGUAAGUCGGGACCUAAGCCGAGGGCGGUAGAGCCGUAGGCGAUGGACAACUGGUAGAUAUUCCAGUACCGUCUUAGAUACGCCUGGAGGAAGCAGUGACACAGAAGGAUAGUCAGAGCGCGUUGAUGGUAGAGCGCGUCCAAGCAGAGAGGCUGGUAUAUAGUAAAGAACGUAUACUAAGGCUGGUCUGUGACGGGGAGUGAACUAAGUAACGAAGCUGAUGAAUUCACGCUGGCGAGAAAAGCUGCUAACGAGUAUGUAAGACGCCCGUACCGCAAACCGACACAGGUAGGCGAGGAGAGAAUCCUAAGACGAACGAGAGAACCCUUGUUAAGGAACUCGGCAAAAUGACCCCGUAACUUCGGGAGAAGGGGUGCCUGCUGAGAGGCAGGCCGCAGAGAAGAGGCCCAAGCGACUGUUUAACAAAAACACAGGUCUGUGCGAAAUCGAGAGAUGACGUAUACGGGCUGACGCCUGCCCGGUGCUGGAAGGUUAAGGGGAAGAGUUAGGUGAGAGCCGAAGCUUAGAACCGAAGCCCCAGUAAACGGCGGCCGUAACUAUAACGGUCCUAAGGUAGCGAAAUUCCUUGUCGGGUAAGUUCCGACCUGCACGAAUGGCGUAACGACUUGGGCGCUGUCUCAACAGGGGACUCGGCGAAAUUGUAGUAUGUGUGAAGAUGCACAUUACCCGCGACUGGACGGAAAGACCCCGUAGAGCUUUACUGUAGCCUGAUAUUGGAUUCUGGUAAUGGAUGUACAGGAUAGGUGGGAGGCUAGGAAGUCAGGGCGUCAGCCUUGGCGGAGCCGAUGUUGGGAUACCACUCUUUCAUUAUUGGAAUUCUAACCCGCGACCGUAGAGCCGGAGCGGAGACAGUGUCAGGUGGGCAGUUUGACUGGGGCGGUCGCCUCCGAAAGAGUAACGGAGGCGCCCAAAGGUUUCCUCAGAAUGGUUGGGAAUCAUUCAAAGAGUGCAAAGGCAGAAGGGAGCCUGACUGCGAGAGAGACAUUUCGAGCAGAUACGAAAGUAGGGCUUAGUGAUCCGGUGGUAGAGAGUGGAAUCGCCAUCGCUUAACGGAUAAAAGUUACCUCGGGGAUAACAGGCUGAUCUCCCCCAAGAGUUCACAUCGACGGGGAGGUUUGGCACCUCGAUGUCGGCUCGUCGCAUCCUGGGGCUG
rnacentral:rRNA from 1 species